CGAGCUUUUGGGGAGAGGCCUGUGAUUUGUGAGCCUCGGGAGCUCGUGGUCCCGGGUUCAAAUCCCGGCGGCCCCACCA
rnacentral:tRNA from 1 species